UUUAAAUACUCUUUUAGUCCCCUUUGCUUUCUGUCUGAUUCAUCUGGUCACCUUUAAGGAUGGCAGGAUUGGACCGACGAGAUCUUUGGAAACACUGAUUAUGUGGAUAUACUCAAGAGUGCGGGCAUCUUUUGUUGUGUUCAACUAGUAGAGACCUAUGUGUCCAAUAGAACCAUAACGCCCUUAUUGUAUUGAUCUCACGAUGAUGCUCCUCUACUUGCACAUUCAUCAC
rnacentral:lncRNA from 1 species